rnacentral:rRNA from 1 species
GCUCCCGGAUUUAGCGGCGGACGGGUGAGUAAUGCCUAGGAAUCUGCCUGGGAGUGGGGGACAACGACUCGAAAGGGUCGCUGAUACCGCAUACGUCCUACGGGAGAAAGUGGGGGAUCUUCGGACCUCACGCUAUCAGAUGAGCCUAGGUCGGAUUAACUAGUAGGUGAGGUAAUGGCUCACCUACGCAACGAUCCGUAACUGGUCUGAGAGGAUGAUCAGUCACACUGGAACUGAGACACGGUCCAGACUCCUACGGGAGGCAGCAGUGGGGAAUAUUGGACAAUGGGCGAAAGCCUGAUCCAGCCAUGCCGCGUGUGUGAAGAAGGUCUUCGGAUUGUAAAGCACUUUAAGUUGGGAGGAAGGGUUGUAGUUUAAUACGCUGCAAUCUUGACGUUACCAACAGAAUAAGCACCGGCUAACUCUGUGCCAGCAGCCGCGGUAAUACAGAGGGUGCAAGCGUUAAUCGGAAUUACUGGGCGUAAAGCGCGCGUAGGCGGCUUGAUAAUAUGGGUGUGAAAUCCCCGGGCUUAACCUGGGAACUGCAUCCAUAACUGUCUGGCUAGAGUACAGUAGAGGGUGGUGGAAUUUCCU